rnacentral:snRNA from 1 species
AGAUGUGAGGGUGAUUUGAAUGCGACAUCUGUCACCCCAUUGAUUGCCAGGGUUGAUUCAGCUGACCUGUCUGGCUAGGCGGGUGUCCCCUCCCUCCCUCCCCACUCCAUGUGUGUCCCUCCUGAAGCUGCGUGCUCGAUGGAAGAGGAUGACGUCCCAGGUAUAGGAGUGUACUGAGGUCUGUCCGGGGGG